ensembl:snRNA U6 U6 spliceosomal RNA
UUGCUCGUUUUGGCAGCACAUAUACUAAAAUUGGAAUGAUAGAAGAUUAGCAUAACUCCUGCACAAGCAUGACACACAAAUCUGUGAAGCAUAUCAUAUUUAA